rnacentral:pre_miRNA from 2 species
GAAAACUUAGAAACUACCGUUGGAUCGAGAAAUGGACGUCCGAGAUCGUCCACGUCACCAUGAGUUAAAAUUUAACUCCCAAUAAAAUUUUAACUCAUGAGUGAAUCCACGAGUUAAAUUUUAACUCAUGGUGACGUGGACGAAUCUCGGACGUCCAUUUCUCGAUCCAAUGAUAGUUUCCAAGUUUGC